AUUUCAUACUUUUCCAUUUUAAGUGGUUUAAGUUCAUGCAAUAUCCUAAACCUUUUCCUUUGAAUUUAUCCUAAAGUGUUUGGGUCUUCAAACUAAUUCCUUUAUCAUUUACAGUGUUGCAGCAGAGCCUAAUUUGAAGGAGUCGACUGCAAGGAAAAAAAUUUAUGACAAAUGUGAUGAAACUGUUAGAAUUGCAAUGGUGGGAAAAUACACAGGCCUUUCAGAUGCAUAUCUUUCUGUUCUCAAGGAUCCUGAGGCAUAUAAAGUUGC
rnacentral:sRNA from 1 species